UACUUCAUUGCUGAAGGUCCUUGAAAGGCCU
rnacentral:sRNA from 1 species